rnacentral:rRNA from 1 species
UCCGUAGGGGGCGAGCGUUGUCCGGAUUUAUUGGGCGUAAAGAGCGUGUAGGCGGCUUGGUAGGUCUGCUGUGAAAACUCGAGGCUUAACCUCGAGCUGUCGGCGGAAACCAUCUGGCUAGAGUCCGGAAGAGGAGAAUGGAAUUCCCGGUGUAGCGGUGAAAUGCGCAGAUAUCGGGAAGAACACCCGUGGCGAAGGCGGUUCUCUGGGACGGUACUGACGCUGAGACGCGAAAGCGUGGGGAGCGAACAGG